rnacentral:rRNA from 1 species
CCUACGGGCGGCAGCAGUGGGGAAUAUUGGACAAUGGGGGGAACCCUGAUCCAGCCAUGCCGCGUGUGUGAAGAAGGCCCUCGGGUUGUAAAGCACUUUCAGUGAGGAAGAACGCCUGGUGGUUAAUACCCAUCAGGAAAGACAUCACUCACAGAAGAAGCACCGGCUAACUCCGUGCCAGCAGCCGCGGUAAUACGGAGGGUGCGAGCGUUAAUCGGAAUUACUGGGCGUAAAGCGCGCGUAGGUGGCUUGAUAAGCCGGUUGUGAAAGCCCCGGGCUCAACCUGGGAACGGCAGCCGGAACUGUCAAGCUAGAGUGCAGGAGAGGAAGGUAGAAUUCCCGGUGUAGCGGUGAAAUGCGUAGAGAUCGGGAGGAAUACCAGUGGCGAAGGCGGCCUUCUGGACUGACACUGACACUGAGGUGCGAAAGCGUGGGUAGCAAACAGGAUUAGAUACCCGUGUAGUC